GACGAACGCUGGCGGCGUGCCUAAUACAUGCAAGUAGAACGCUGAAGAGAGGAGCUUGCUCUUCUUGGAUGAGUUGCGAACGGGUGAGUAACGCGUAGGUAACCUGCCUUGUAGCGGGGGAUAACUAUUGGAAACGAUAGCUAAUACCGCAUAACAAUGGAUGACCCAUGUCAUUUAUUUGAAAGGGGCAAAUGCUCCACUACAAGAUGGACCUGCGUUGUAUUAGCUAGUAGGUGAGGUAACGGCUCACCUAGGCGACGAUACAUAGCCGACCUGAGAGGGUGAUCGGCCACACUGGGACUGAGACACGGCCCAGACUCCUACGGGAGGCAGCAGUAGGGAAUCUUCGGCAAUGGGGGCAGCCCUGACCGAGCAACGCCGCGUGAGUGAAGAAGGUUUUCGGAUCGUAAAGCUCUGUUGUAAGUCAAGAACGAGUGUGAGAGUGGAAAGUUCACACUGUGACGGUAGCUUACCAGAAAGGGACGGCUAACUACGUA
rnacentral:rRNA from 1 species